rnacentral:rRNA from 1 species
GUCACGCUGUAAACGAUGUCUACUGGCCGUUGGCCUCCUUGAGGGGUUAGUGGCGCAGCUAACGCGAUAAGUAGACCGCCUGGGGAGUACGGCCGCAAGGUUAAAACUCAAAUGAAUUGACGGGGGCCCGCACAAGCGGUGCAGCAUGUGGUUUAAUUCGACGCAACGCGAAGAACCUUACCUACUCUUGACAUCCUGCGAAGCCUGUAGAGAUAUGGGUGUGCCUUCGGGAGCGCAGAGACAGGUGCUGCAUGGCUGUCGU